GGGAAAGGCAGCAGCCGACCUUGCAGACGGAGGCGGUAGCUCUCGGUUCCAUCAGUGCCUCCCGGGUAGCCUAACCCAGCUGUGACACCUGUGUAGCUGUAGCAAAGCAUGCCGCUGUGCUGGAGUCCGGCAGCUGAAGGGCUGAGGUUGAAGCUUCCUGGAGCGGGGCCUCAGGCAGUUUCCCCGCAAUCAACGGUCGUCAUGCAGCCUGAGGAUCUCAGGGCGACAGUCCUUGUUUGCACUAAUCAUGCUUUUUCUCUGUAUGUCUUUUCUGUGUCGGGGGGUGUUGGUGGACAGCCUCUAGGUGGACCCCUGAGAGUGGAAAUUACCUAGAGUCGCUCCCAUAUACGGGAAGCUAUGAUGAAGUUGGGAAUAGAUGAGUGAAUCAUGAAGGAAAGAAACAACUUUGGAGUGAUUUGUCUUUUAUGGAAAGGCUAGCCAGGACUAGAAAGCCUUGGUGCCUUUAUAGUAAGGAAGAAAGACAGCAGAUCAUAGAAAAUAUGAAGCCAGCCCUAAGGUAUUGGUAUAGAAGGGUAUAUGACAACUGGAAGGAUAAGUGGAUAUAUAGGAGUGAGGAAAAAAUAAAUGAAAUUAUACAAAAGUAUAUAGAGGGUGAGUUAAACCCUGGCUGGUAAAAAUCUGGUUCUCACAGAUGUGGUCUUUGGCGCGAGACAGAUUUCACAAAAUUCUGAGAUCAUGCCCUUAAGCAACAACCGCAAUGAACUCCAAGCUGUGGAAGUGAUACACAGAAAUAGAUACUGAUGUACUUUGUUAUUGUUUCUUGCAUUACACAGAAAUAGAUACUGAUGUACUUUGUUAUUGUCUCUUGCACUACACAGAAAUAGAUACUGAUGUAUUUUGUUAUUGUUUUUUGCUGAUUCUAAGUAAUUGUAAAAGUUAAAAGUCUGAUGUAACCCCCUGCCAAGUUCCUUGACUGUAAAAGAAUAUAAGCACUGAUUUUGCACAAGUAAAUCUGCAGCAGCACAUCAA